UACCAGCACCCCGAGUGGUCGGGACGUUUAUUGGGCCUAAAGCAUCCGUAGCCGGUUCUACAAGUCUUCCGUUAAAUCCACCUGCUUAACAGAUGGGCUGCGGAAGAUACUAUAGAGCUAGGAGGCGGGAGAGGCAAGCGGUACUCGAUGGGUAGGGGUAAAAUCCGUUGAUCCAUUGAAGACCACCAGUGGCGAAGGCGGCUUGCCAGAACGCGCUCGACGGUGAGGGAUGAAAGCUGGGGGG
rnacentral:rRNA from 1 species